CUUGCUCAAGCAGAACAAACUUCUGGACAAUUCAGGUUUCACUUGUCUUUUGUCCAAACAUCUGCAUGUUUUUUGCCUUCAUCUUCUGGGGUUUUACUAAAGGUGAGUUUUGUAGUUCAUACAUUUAGAAAAAAAAAAAAGAGAUUACUAAAGCACAAUAGUAAGAUUUUUUUCUUUGUAUUAUGCAGGAGUUUUUCAUCACUGACUUAAGAUUACUGUGUUGAUAUGCUGUGUUUGUUUAUUCUCUCUUGAUGUAAUUCUUCAUCACCACACAGUUUUUUGUCAUGUCAUCUUAUAUCCAAAAUUGAUUACUAUGUUCCAGGAUUUGAUAGUGAGAUAAUCACUUGCUGUGCUCUUUAUAUUCUGAGACCUGUUAUGUAUCUUACAGUUUUUUAUGUCCAUGAAAAGAGUGCACGUUUUAGGAACAUGACACAUCUAUUUCUUGGAAUAUGCUUUGGAUGUGUUGUGGUCUUCUGUCUAAAACUGUGUAGAGGAUUUAGUUGGAUGCAGUUUAAUUGGAUCUCUUCAUUUUUUCUAUCUUUGGCACAAUUUGUCGAACAAAUUUCCUCAUGUGGCCUUCUCAGAUCAGUGCAUCCCUCUCAUAUGAUCAUGUACAUGUCUGGAGCAGUUGGUCUUGUUUUGUUGAACUCUGGACUACUGACAGCAGAACUCUUUUUGGAAACAUGGAACGGGGAGCGUAUCAUUAAGGAUCUAAGAAUCAUUGUCUUCCCCUGUGAAUGUGUUUUGGCUUUAUAUUGGAUAAUUAACUUCCGUUCUUUCUAAGUAUCUUAUAAUAUCUUUUUAAUGGAGAGUUUUUUUUUUUUUUUUUUUUUUUUUUUUUUGCUAAAUAUUUUGACAUUCUAAAUAUUACAAUAAGGUAACAUGGCAUUUAAUUUUUUCUCUCUCUCUUUCUUAUGCAUCCUGUCAUAUAGUGAAGAUUAGGCCUGAGUAAUUUCCAUUUUUUAUUCUUUACAGCUGUUAUUCUCUAGAUAAAAACUGUGUAGACUGAUAGUUGAUGAAAACGUACUUGCGGGAACUUUUUCAGUAACUACAAAUCACUGCAGUUUCCAACAGAAAUGAACACUAAAGGUGGUAAAACAGUGAGCACUUGUAAUCGUUUAUGAUUAUAGCUCCAUAUGUUUGGCUUUUCAGCCAUAAUAAGCUUGCUUGGUAGCUCAGCCAGCAGAGAACUGGACUUAGGAUGCAGAAUCCUUGGUUCCAAACCCUGUCAAACACAUGACUCACGAUGAAAAAGCUGAAAGAUGAGAGAUCAAAAAACAAGCUAAAACGGCAUGCUAGUGAUUGCGUUUUUACAUCACAUUCGCUUUUGUUUAUACUCAGCAGCGUCGGACUGGGGGUAAAACCAGUACUGAUUACCAGGGCCCCAAAGGAAGAGAGGGCCCUUGAAAAGUCUGGAAUAUAUUUUAUUUUACCUGGAUAUUUUCGGGGGGGUGAGGGCUUCUGCUGCCUGAUGCUUUUAGGUUUUCCCUCAAAUUCUCUUUAAAUUCACCACAGGGCAAUGGGACAGGGACAUUUGUAAACAUUUGGGAUAAUUCCCUCACUUGUGCAUUUUACUCUAUGGGUACUAUUAUUUGGUGGUUUUACUUUGGAAACCGAUACUGUGCUGAUUGGUUUUGGCUUUAGUCCUAAUGUUCUUGAUGGCACAUGCCAUGUUUGAGGCAAAGAGGUUUUACUCUUUCUUGGUGGUACAGAUUUAUGUGCCAUUUUUAGGUAGUGAGACAGUGUGUAAAGUAGUCCCAGUAAAUGGUUACAGUGCCCCAAUCCUGCUUUACAAGUGCAUUGGGUGUCUCGGAAAAAUGGGUUUUCUAAAGACAGCUCCACCUGCAACAAAGCAACAAAACGUUAUUAAAAAAGCCAUUAUUAACUAACCCUAACCCACAUUUCAAGACAAGGUGUACAAAAUAACAGGUGUUUUUUUUUUUAUCCUUUUGUCUUAAAAUAUUUCCAAACUAUAACGGUUGUUGGUAUAACUAAGUUACACACUUACGUUAUAACAAGUGUUGGGUAAGCUACUUAAAAAAAAAAAAAAAAAUAGGGCCCGGGAUCUUGUGGAACGCCCCUGUUUAUACUAUCGGGUAGAUUUAGGACAGGUGUAGUGCAGAUUUACACCUAUUUUAAAACGUCAAGGCUAUUAAAGUUAUAGUGCCACUCAACAGACAUUUCAAGUCUGCAGUGAUGUACAAAACCAACAUCACAUAAAAUGCACCAUAUAUACGUUCAUCUGUUCACUCAGUGGAAAUUUCACAUUGAAUAUGUCACGAAAUGUACAUGGCAGUAUGUAUUUCUCAUCUUGCAAAAAAGUUCCCACAGGUACGUUUUCGGCAUGAGAUCAGGUUGGAUAUUUGGCCUGUAAUUGUUUUUUUUUUUUCAUUCUGUUGUAUUGUAUAGAAUGUAUAGAAUUCAGAUGAAAGUCACUGACAUCAUCUAAGGGUUCUGUUAAAAUAUAUCAGCUGAUCUGCUGGAUGAGGUUUGUCAUUUUAGUGUAGAGUACAGAUAUGUAGAUGCUAAUUUCUUGUUUUGAACAGAGAGCACAAGACUCAUGAAAUGGAAAAUUUGUCUUUAUCUGAUAAUGGUGAAUCAAAGAGACAGAAAUGACUCUGCCAAAUAGGCCACAUCCUGCACUCUGACUGCUCUUUUAGAAGAAAAAUCGAACAGGCUGAGCAAAGUCUCAACAAGCAAAGGUAUUUAGUUUUCUGUCACCAGUUACUUACAGGAUACUUUCAGGAUGUUGAUACAACUAUGUAAAGGUUGUUUGUUAUGCAUAUAUAUGCAUAAAUGUAUUGCUCAUUUCUUGUGUCUCCUGUUUGUUGAGGGGUUAUUUCAUAUAUGUGCAGCAGCAGUAUUUCUUACAUGCUGACAGCUGCAUUUCGGUGGUGGAUGUAUUGGGAGUAGCAAUUCUCAGUACCUUCUCUGCUGCAGAAGCAGCAAUGUAGCAGAUCAAUGUAGCCAAGACCAAACUCAUUAACAUCGUCAUGUACAUUACCAUGCUAAACUCUCUGAGAGUUGUCAUGACAGAACUGAUUUGAAUGAUGUCAUUCAACAGAUCCACUAACAUCUUUUCUUUGUCUGUUCUGAACUUCAUAGUCUCUCUGUAUUAAACAAAAUAUGAACUGAACUUGAACUUUUUGAAAACCUUGUUUUAAUGGGUAUAUUUUUAAAAAUGGUCAUGCCUCUACCUGAUGCAAUCAUUUAUCUUUUUGUUUGAACUUCAUAUCCAAUUAUUAAACUUGCAUUGCAUAAAUGUUUAGUGUAUUUUCCCUGUGUAUGUGUUUGAAUCAGUUGAUGUUGUUUUAUUGAACCCUGUUACACUGAUGACUGAACUGAUACUGAAAACAGGUGAGUUUUCUUUUUUUUUUAAAUAAUCACAACAGUGUAUUUUAUUCCAUAUUCCAAGUGUACAUAUGUACUUUAAACAUGUAUUAAUAACACAUUGUUUUAAUUUUGAGUGACUGAAUAUAGAAAUACUUUGCAUGUCACAAUGAAGCAGAAAUCACCCUCUCAUCUAAUUUUAAUCAAAAUAUUAUGAGCUGAAUUAAUCUUUACUAAAAUAGUCAUGACUGCAUUAAUUUGUCCAAAUAGUGCUAAUAAUUUUUUAACACAAAUAAAUGCAUCCACUCUUCUUUUUCA
ensembl:lncRNA